GGCAGUUCUCAGGUGACACACCGGGAAUUGGGCUCCUUCCUCUCUGGUUCCAGGUGCAUCACCUAAGAACCACC
rfam:Myotis brandtii contig152372, whole genome shotgun sequence.